UUUUUUUUUUUUUUUGAGACGGAGUCCUGCUCUGUCACCCAGGCUGGAGUGCAGUGGCGUGAUCUUGGCUCACUGCAAGCUCCACCUCCCGGGUUCACACCAUUCUCCUGCCUCAGCCUCCCGAGUAGCUGGGACUACAGGCACCCGCCACCACGCCUGGCUAAUUUUUUGUAUUUUCAAUAGAGACGGGGUUUCACCAUGUUAGCCAAGAUGGUCUCGAUAUCCUGACCUCGUGAUCCACCCACCUCGGCCUCCCAAAGUGCUGGGAUUACAGGCGUGAGCCACUGCGCCCAGUAGAUCACAUGUUUUUUUUAUCUUAUCAGUGUGAUAUAUUAUAGUGUUUUUCAUAUGUGAAACUAUCCUUGUACUCCAGGGAUAAAUCCACUCGGUUAUUGUGCAUAAUACUUUUAGUACGCUGCUGAAUUCAGCUUGCUAGUAUUUUGUUGACAAUUUUUCCAUCAAUAUUGAUCAGAGACUUUGGUCUGUAAUUUUUAUUUCUUGUAGUGUCUUUGUCAGGCUUUGGUGUGGGUAAUGCUGCUGUCAUAGAAUGAGUUAGGAAAUGUUCCACCCUCUUCAACUUUUUGAAAGAGUUUGAGACUAUCAAAAGAUUUUUUAGCAAUAACCAGUACUUCCAUCCUUACUGUAAGUCAUUAUUAAGAAAGAUGAAGGCCUAGUUUUUGCUCUUGAGGAAUUUGUCAUAUGAGAAUGAAUCAAAGGAAACCUAGAAAAAUCAGCUGUAUAAAUGGACAUAUUUAUACAACUCUACAGGGUAGGUGGAGGAAUGCAGAGUAGGAAAGUAUUGGUGAAAUCACAGGGAUGCAGUCAGAUUGUCCAGCCCAAAAUGGGAAUCUGGAAAUCAACAGCAGUCAAAGGGACUGGAAAUACUAAGUAUAAUUGCAAUUUAAGAAUAUUAACUUAUGAUACUAUUGGGUAAUAGAAUUUCUAAGACUCCAUCAAACUAAAUUUUCCCCUUUCCUUUCCCUAAGGAAAGGCCCUAAAUUACUCUUGAGGAAUUCUCACUCAGGCAGCCACUGUAGAGCCCCAACUCCUGAGAAAAAGAUUUUACUCUAUUUUGUAUCAUAUACAUCUGUUAUAAUGCAUCUAAAUAACUGGAUCCUUUAAAAAUCAUCUGUUCUGGCCAGGCGUGGUGGCCCAUGCCUGUAUUCCCAGCACUUUGGGAGGCCAAGGCAAGAGGAUUGCUUAAGCCCAGGAGUUCGAGACCAGCCUGGGCAACACAGGGAGACCUUGUCUCUAGAAAAUACAAAAAAUUAGCCAGGUGUGGUGGUGUGCACCAGUAGUCUCAGCUACUUGGAGGCUUGAGCCCAGGAGGUUGAGACUGUAGUGAGCUAUUAUCACACCACUGCAACCCAGCUUGGAUGACAGAGUGAGACCAUAUUUCAAAAAAGAAAAAAACCUGUUCUCAACAAUUUGUCAUAUAAUUAAACUGUGGUAUAAAACAUAACUGAGGAAAGCUCAUACCUCCUGCUUGCUUUCCAUUAGCCAAACUGUCUUAAGUAGUGCCGCUAUAUUGAUUUGAUCAAAUCUGGAUGAUUAGUAGAAUGUUUUGAUUCCUGAGAUUGAUCCCUGAAGAUUUUGAUCCACUGCAGAUGAGAAAACUAGUUUUCAGAAGUUCCCCGGUGAUUCUGAUCAGCUGGGUUUUGGUGAUUAGAAUUCCGUGGGAUGCAAUUCGUCUGGAGUUCUCUAGCGUGUUCCUGUAAGGUCUCUGCCAAGCCAGAGUUGAUCUGACAUGGGGAGAGUUGUCAGAAAACCAAAUCAUUUCAGGAUUGCUCAGGGAAAACUUACACGGGGUGUAGCACCUGUCUUCUCAUACAUCGUUUGAAGAGCUGCUGUCUAGGGGAUGUUUUGCUUCUAGGGUUGAAUUGGGACUGCAUUGAAAAGGACAGAGAGCCACAUACUGAGUACAAGUAAGAGCUUCCUGGUUGUUCAGCAGGGAGAGGAGCUGACAUACUAAGAAAUAAAGUGUCAAACGUACGUCAUUAGACUGUUCAUAGGUGGGGUUCUUAACACUGGCUGGAACAAGCUUGUGCAACCCGCGGCCCAUGGACUGUAGGCCGCAUGUGGCCCAACACAAAUUCAUCAACUUUCUGAAAACAUUAUGAGAUUUAUACAUGAACCUUUUAAAAAAAUUUUUAGCUCAUCAGCUAUUGUUAGUGUAUUUUAUGUGUGGCCCAAGACAGUCCUUCCAGUGUGGCUCAGGGACGCCAAAAUAUUGGACACCCCUGGGCUAGAAGGUUGCGCAGGAUAACCUUAAGCUUCUUCCCAGGUGAGGCAGCUAAGACUGGGGAACUUACCCAAGGUCACUGGUAAAUGGCCAAGCUAGUGCCUGAGCAUAUAUAUAUAUAUAUUUUUUUUUUUUUUUUUUUUUUUUCGAGAUGGAGUCUUGCUCUGUGUCACCUAGAUUGGACUACAGUGGCAUGAUCUUGGCUCACUGCAACCUCUGCCUCCCGGAUUCAAGCAAUUCUGUCUCAGCCUCCCGAGUAGCUGGGAUUACAGGCGCCUGGCUCAUUUUUGUAUUUUUAGUAGAGACAGGGUUUCACCAUGUUGGCCAGGCUGGUCUCGAACUCCUGACCACGUGAUCCACCUGCCUGGGCCUCCCAAAACGCUGGCGUUUUGGACCUGGGCCCAUAUUUUCUAUUCCAGGGCUCAUAUUUAGUUCUGCAUUAUGCUGUCCUUUGUCCUUUAAAAUAGCUGGACCUAGAGUGCUGUAACACACUAUAGGGAGAGUUUACAUUGCCACUGGUCAUUAGGAUGGCAACUAUCCCAUCACCAGUUCCUGACUAGAACAGAGGUGGGUUGAACAAAACACCAGUCUGAAGAUUUUAGAGUGGCAGUCAAGUUUAUAUCACCUUCAGUGUGAGCAGGCGGGGUGGUGUCAAAGUGACAUUACUGGUGUUGGGUAAGUCUAUGCUGCAUUAAUAAAACACUUCCCACCAUCUCUCAAAACACCUUCCUUUGAAGAUUCAGGUUCUUCAGACUGAGGAGCCUCUGAAUCGUGACUAGCUUGAUAGAAGACUUUACAUUAAAAAGUAACUGAGAGAUGGUCUAUUCACCUUGCAUGACUGUGCUAUCUUUAAUCAUCAAUCUUUGAAGUGCACACUGGGUCAUUCGUAAGCAAGAUUACAGAGAAUAAAAUAGAAUUUUGAUACCACUGUAUUCGCCAUGUCAUUACAAAGUCUGUAUCCACUGUCAGGCCCAGAAACAAGACAGUAAUAUACUGUCUGCACAUUUUGAGAUGAGAAAUGCAAUGAUUGUGUUGUUUUUAAACUAGUUGCUGGAACUUUUUUUUUUUUUUUUCUGGUAGCUUUUUCCUUCAGUUAGAAACCAUUUUCCAAACAAUAUUCUUAGGCUACAAAAAUGAAUGUUUUUGUGGGUGGACUUUUACUGGAUGCUAGUUAUUUAUAACCUAUUGAAGUUUUACAUUUAAGAAGGAAAAAUGAUAGAAUGAGGAGGAAAGUAGACAUAAAAUUUCAUGUCAAUGGAAUAGAUUAUUAUUCCGUUAGAUACAAUAGAUUAUUAUUCCAUUAGAUGUAAUGGAAACCUCAGAAAACAGCUGCAAAUAAGCAUCUGACUUAUUUUCCCAAUACUACAUAUGUUUAUCAUUCCCUAAAUCAUCAGUUGUUGCAUUUUGAUUAAAUUGGUUUGUUGAACACAUGUAUUUUUAAAUUUUCUGCAAAAAACAAAUUCCUAUCAUGAACACAAAGUAGGGGCAUCGCAGUAUCUGGAUUUCUACACAUUAUUUGUACUCUGUAUUUUACUACCUAUUAAACUAUUGAUUAGAACUGAUUUGAAAUUCCAUUAAUUUACCUUUCCGCGUGUGAAGUUACAAAUCGAGAUGAGGUUUAGGAUCCUGUGCCACAGUGUGCAGGGGUUGGGAGAUGAGUCCUUGUAGAAGAUACUGCUGGGUGUGGAGCAGAGUUCAGAAGGUGACAAGCCUUAACCAUGGGAGGGAGUCCUAGGGGAGGAUGCCUGCGCUUCCCUGGCUUGCACAGCUAGGUCAAUGGAGGAGGCUUUUGCUGAGAAUCUAGGAAGAGAACCAGCUUUGGGGGCAUGAGUGUUUCAUGGUAUGGAUGUACCACAGUUUACCAGCAUUCGCUUUUAAUAAAUUGACCUUGCUCAGCAGUUCUGGGAGCUGUAAUGGAAUGAGAAUAAUUGGAAUUCACAUGCCCAGGGUAUACCUAUUAGCCUAUCCCACAUCCCACAUGUGCAAAACUUAGUUAUUAGGAUUUGAGAUUAGGUGGAGUUGAAAUGGCUAUUAGGAUUCUUAAUUAGACUCUGUUUUUGGUGUGCUCACAAACUGUGUUAUAAAGUCUAUAGUGAUUCUGAGGCAUUUGAUAAUUGAGGACACACUGGUAAAACCAAACUAACAGCCUCAUGUUGAAGAGUGCUGGUGAGUGGCUAUUGAAAAUUUCUGCCAGAAACUAGUUGCAUCUGUAUCAUUUGAUCUAGCAUAAAACAUUUCCUUUUCACUUAUGGAAAGACACAUCUUAAAAACCCUUGAAAGGGUUUAGGACAAGAAAAAAAAUUCAUUUGCUUGGCAAUUUGCACAUGUUUGGAGAGUUUUGUGAAGUGAACUGACUGCUAGAUAGGUUAAAGCCAGCCUAAUAGCAAAUGGAAUUGACCUGGAUGUUGCUCUCUGUCAUAGAUGCAGAUGUUUCAGGCAAACAGGAGGUAAGAUGACUCGAGUGCAGCCUUUCAGCCUCAUCUGGUGCGAUAGCCCCUUGGGGUUAGGUUUGCUACCAGGCUCUCUAAGGAAAUUCUGUCGUCAAGAGUUAUCUGUGGCAGUGUCACUUUCUCUGACACAGGUCUGUUGGCAUCCUUCCCAGCACCAAUCUAGAUCUGGACUGGUGAUCACUUGUUGACCAUAAGGUGUUUAUUAUUAUUAUUAUUACUGUUCUGUUUUUGAGGCAGAGUCUCACUCUGUCACCCAGGCUGGACUGCAGUGGUGCAAUCAUGGCUUACUGCAGCCUUGACCUUCGGGGCUUAAGCAAUUCUCCCACCUUAGCCUCCUGAGUAGCUAGGACUACAGGCAACUGCCACCAUACCUGGCUAAUUAUUUUAUUUUUUGUAGAGAUGGGGUCUCACUUUGUUACCCAGGCUGGUCUUGAACUCCCGGGCUCAAGCGAUUCGCCUGCCUUGGCCUUCCAAAGUGCUGGGACUACAGGCAUUGAGCUACUGCAUCUGGGUGAUCAUGUUUACUGCCAUUCCUUUUGUUAUAUUUGAUUUAAUUUUUUAAUUUUUUUUUUUUUUCCUUAGAGACAGGGACUUGCUCUGUCGCCCAGGCUGCAGUGCAGUGGUGUGAUCAUGGUUCACUGCAACCUCAAAUUCCUAAGCUCAAGUGAUCGUCCUGCCUCUCAGCCUCCUGAGUAGCUGGAACUACAGACAUGCCAUGAUGCCUGGCUAAUUUUCAAAUUUUUUGUAGAGAUGCGGUCUCGCUGUGUUGCCCAGAUGGGUCUCAAACUCCUGGCCUCAAGUGAUCCUUCAGCCUCAGCCUCCCAAAGCGCUGGGAUUACAGGUGUGAGCCACUGUGCCGGGCCAUGCCUUCUCCUUUGUAUGUUGAGCUAAGCAUACACACUUUAAGUAGGCAGUGAGCCAGCUCUUCACAGCCUCAUGACCUUGAACAAGUUGCAUAGCCCUCCUAAGCCCACAUUUCCCAUUUGUAAAAUGGCUAAAGUAAUACCAUCUUGAAAGACGUGAAACUCAACUGAGAAACUUAACCUCACACAGUUUGUGGCAAUAAUUCCCCAAAUAGUGUCAUCUAGAAAUAUGCUAAAACCCAACUGUAAUUACCCAGAUAUUUAUUGAACAUGCGUUAUGUGAAGAGCAUCGUUAUCAGUUGUUGCAAGGAAUGUAAAGAUGCCUAAGGCAAUUUCCAUUCUCAUGGCGCUUUCCGAUGUAGAAGAGGAGUUUUUGUUGUUAAAGGCUAGACAAAAUCUAUGUAAAAUGUCCUUUGGGUUCAGAGAAAGGAGUUACCAGAGGAAGCCUGCUGUGGUUAGGAGUGCAGGUUCUAGAGGCAGAUCACCUUCAUGCCCCAGCCCCACUCCGGGUGUUAUCCUGGGCACCCGCGCCUCAGUGUCCUUAUCUAUGAAACAGAGAGCGUUAUGGAUGCCUGCUUAGCUCAGUGUUAGGAGGAUUCCAUGAGUGAGCAUUUAGUUGAAAGUGCUCCGUAAAUGUUAGUAAUUAUCUGUUCAUUCAGCACAUAUUUAUUGAGUGCCUACUGCAUUCAAUUACCAAGAACAGCAAGUUGAGUGAGAUUUUGUAUAUGCAGUUUGGUGAAGGAAACACAAAUCAGUAAUGAGUUGCAGGGAUACAAAGUGUUGAGAGCCAUAAUGGGAGCAUAAAUAAGAUGAUGCAGGAACACCGGGAAAAGGCAUCUAAAUCAUAUUACUGAGCAGAAAAGGCCUCAGGGGAAAUAGCACGUGAACUGAGCUUCCAAGAAGUCAGGGUUAUUUAGAUCAAAGAUAGGGUGGAGGCGGGCGGCAUUCUGGGUUUCAAGAAAACAGUCCAUGAGAAGGCAUGGUGGCACACACAAGCAUCACACGUCUGGGAAGUACAGCUUUCAUGUGGCUGCAGUACACUUGGCAAUAUUUGGCGAGAAAAGGAGGAUUCUAAUCCCCAAGGGCCCUUUUUAUCCAGGGAAUAGCAUUUCAAGGUUCAGUGGAGGAGAACCCCAAGAGCACCAAAAUGGAAAGAUGAUUUGUAAAGCUGAGGAAAAUGUCCAGCUGUGUUUUUAUGAGGACUCUCACUGCACUGAUAUGACAGAUGACACCUUCCCUCAACACUGUUCAUCAUUGACUGCUGAGGGCUCCUUCUUCAGUUUAUAACAGGAUGGUAACUUCAUAAGCAAUGUAGGACUUUCACAGGGUUCCACACGAAGCGUGUCUGGAUAAUUCAGCCAAGCUCUUCAGUCUCCAGCAGUGAUGGAAUCAGGAGCUCGCUUGGCCAGCCCUCUAAUGACUCAGUCACAGGGUCAUCCACUUGGGGGUGUGAGGAGAGGAGGCUUCUCCCCGCAAGUGCUUUCGGGGUGAUGCCGUAGAUUCUUUGUACCUCAGGAGUUACUUUUGCAAUUAGAGGUUCUCUCUCUCUCUUGGUAUUUUAUGCAUCUAAUUCUGCUUUUCUAUGCAUGAGUCUUGUCGGAUUCAGGCACAGCAAUAAGUCUCCAAAAUAGGGUCAGAGUGAGUUUAAUGAAGAAGUUAUUGUUUUCUUAAGGAUGAAAAUAAACAGAGAGAAUGCCUUAUUACAUAAUCAAUAACGUCGGCCUCUUGAUUAAAACACAAAUGCAAUUUAGCCCGAAAUUAUUCUCUAGUUUGAUGUUCUACAAAAUUAGAUUACGAUAAUAAAUGAUUGGACCUCUUAAGCACAGGCAGGUGUCCACACGCUGAUAGCCUCUGGAGGAGCAGGCUUCCCAAUCCGGAUUUCCUACGGAUGAAAGUUUAGGAAGAUGUAGUACUGAUCCCAACAUCUCACUCAUAGUUUCUGCAAUUAUUAAAGGCUAAAAGACAACACACAUAAUGGAAAAGCUUAGACUUUUGGAAUCGGAGGCUGGAUUUAGAUACUAGUUUCUCUGCUUAAUCAGCUGUGCAAAUUUUGUUUCAAGUUACUUAAUCUUUCUGAGCCUGUUUUCUUAAAAUAAAACAUUUUGAAAUGGGGUAACAAUA